UUCUUCAGUUAUGGAAUGUUUUAUCCUAGCAAAUUGUUGAGGUGUGUGCGCUAUUUAUCAAAGACUACAUGCUGGCCUCGUCAACAAUGUUCAAAGUGAGCGACGGAAAGAAAACGUUUUUCAGUUUUAAAAUAUUAAGCGUUCAGCACAACACUGCCACAAACCAACGCACUGGAUUAAGCCAAGAACCUGUCGAAACGCGCG